UACGUAGGGGGCUAGCGUUGUCCGGAAUCAUUGGGCGUAAAGGGCGCGUAGGCGGUGUGUCAAGUCAGGCGUGAAAUCCCGAGGCUCAACCUCGGAACUGCCUUCGAUACUGCGGGUCUCGAGUCCGGGAGAGGUGAGUGGAAUUCCUAGUGUAGAGGUGAAAUUCGUAGAUAUUAGGAAGAACACCAGUGGCGAAGGCGGCUCACUGGCCCGGUACUGACGCUGAGGCGCGAAAGCGUGGGGAGCAAACAGG
rnacentral:rRNA from 1 species